rnacentral:rRNA from 1 species
GACGACGCUGGCGGCGUGCUUAAAACAUGCAAGUCGAACGGACUUCUCAUGAAGCUUGCGAUUGAGAAGUUAGUGGCGGACGGGUGAGUAACGCGUGGGCAACCUGCCCCUGAGCCCGGGAUAACAGUUCGAAAGGACUGCUAAGACCGGAUAUACUUGCGGGGAAGCAUUUCUCUGUAAGGAAAGGGAACGCUCAGGGAUGGGCCCGCGUCCCAUUAGCUAGUUGGUGAGGUAACGGCCCACCAAGGCGACGAUGGGUAGCCGGCCUGAGAGGGUGAACGGCCACACUGGGACUGAGACACGGCCCAGACUCCUACGGGAGGCAGCAGUUGGGAAUCUUCGGCAAUGGGCGCAAGCCUGACCGAGCAACGCCGCGUGAGUGAUGAAGGUUUUCGGAUUGUAAAGCUCUGUCUUCCGGGACGAUAAUGACGGUACCGGAGGAGGAAGCCACGGCUAACUACGUG